rnacentral:lncRNA from 1 species
AUGGACCUCAGAGAGACAACUUCUCAAAAGCCUGAGUCGGCCUGGAAUGACAAGCAAAGCAGGGAUUGCACUGGGAAAAGCUUCCUGCUGCAGCAGCUUCGUCACUUCGGCAGAAGAAUGCCCCAGUCUUCAGCUGUUGAAGAAAGGGACGAAAACCUCACAAGUCCAGAAAGACCUGACCUUUCAAGAGACAGAAGCAGCCGCGGCCUAAUACAAAGAGGUCUGGCUUCAGUGGGUCCAACUGACUCAGAAUUAAAUGGAAAGAGCUUCCCGCUGGGGUGUCCUAACGGUGUAGCUAAGCCCCCAAGAGAGGUCAAGAGAGAUGCUGAGGAAGAGCCAUGCCCCAAAUUCCCUCCAGAGACUUCUGCAGACGGAGGAGGAGAAUACCCAAGGGCAGAAGAAAGCCAGAAAGAAAAGCAGGAAGAGGAGAUGCUCAAGAAACAGUAGCUGCAGGAAUGGCUGGAGAAACUAAAGCCUCAGAUACUCCAUUACUGCGAUGCAGCCCAUGGCUGAACAACCCCCCACCACCACAUCUUGUUCCAUGUGGUCCCCAGCACAGGAUAGCAGAACAACAUCUUGUCUUGUUCUUCCAAUUUCUGUCUCAUCUGUUAAAGCAAGAAAGAAAAGCCAACAACAUAUUUCAGGUCUUUCCAACCUGACAAGAGCUACAGUAGGAGUUUCUUCCUCUCCUUUUGCAGCCUUUUAUGAUGCUCAAAAUGUCUAAAAAGUUUUCCAUCCUUUCUGGACUGGGAGAGGGUUGGUUGUUGAUGCACCAGAGGCUCCAGGAGAAAGGUGGAUAUGGGGUUUCACUGACUCUGGCGAAGUAGCAGAUCCCAUAGAAGUAACUAUUCUAUCCUGGCCAAAUAUGCAUUUUGUGCACAUGACUUCUAAUAAAUGCAUUUGAAGAGUUCCCUUAAGAUGAUGC